ACCAGGAGAAAAUGCCAAUAAAUCUCAAACAAAAGAAUGCUGGCUUGGAACAAAAAAUCGGCAAUGUUUUGACAUUCCUUCUCCACUUGCCUAAUGACUUUCGUCAGGCUGUUAGAAGAGAAAAUGCUCAUGAUGAGGCUUGGGUUUGAUUAGCCUGGAAAAGAAAAGGCUGAGGAAUUUGCACAUUCCAGAAUCUGAAGGAAUAGAGAUGGAGAGGAACUUUUUACCAGGACAAUGGGAAUGGCCUCCCAGUGACAGAGGGCUUUGAAGUAGGAAGCAAUUCUUCCCUGUGAGGGUGCUGAGGCCCUGGCACAGGGCGCCCAGAGAAGCUGUGGCUGUCCCAUCCCUGGAAGUAUUCAAGGCCAGGCUGGAUGGAGCUCUGAGCAACCUGGGAUAGUGAAAGGUGUCCCUGCCCAUGGCAGGGGGUUGGAACACAAGUGAUCUUUAAAGUCCCUUCCGACCCAACUCAUUCUGAGCUGGAAGUCUGCAGUUCAGGCUCCAGAUUCUUCUGCCUUGAGUCAGACAAAAACCCCGUAACACACUACAAGGAUAAACCCAGCAAUGACAGCUCCUCAUUUCCUGUGACAGCCUUGGGGAUGCCGGCAGAGCGGGGGGAGCGCGGGAUUUGGGAUCACCUGGCACAGGUAAGACGGGACCGGGACCGGAACCGGGACCGGGGCUGGGCAGGGCCGGGAGGCGCCCUCUGCCGGCCGGAGCCGCCACUGCAGGCAGCGCCCACCUAGAGCCACACCUGGGACCCCAAAACAUCCCCGGGGACACGGGAACAGCGCCCACCUAGGACCCCAAAACAUCCCCGGGGACACAGGAACAGCGCCCACCUGGAGCCACACCUGGGAUCCCAUCCCAACAUCCAUGGGGACAUUGGAGCAGUGCUCAUCUGGACUAUUGGAAUCUCUUCUCCCUGCUCGUGGGAUCUCAUCUGUGCAGUCACACUGACCACAUCCACGCUGAAGUCGGAUAUCCUGGCCCAGGGACCCACUCUCCAGACUCUGAGCCUGGGAUUUGGAGGUCAGACCUUGAGAGCUCUGCAUGUUUCCAGCCCCACCUCCUGUGUGUACAGUGUCAGUGGUGGCCUCACCCCACUCCUGCCCCUGGCCCAGAUGCACACAGCUGGCUCAGAACACACUGAGCAGCUGCAGCUUUGUGUGACUGUGCAGCAGGAGAGGCACAGCCAAGACAGUUUCCUAGCCACCUCUCACAGACUCUGACAGGAGAGGAUGAUGUUAACAGCUCAGUAAGUACCAGUGUGAAGAAAGUGGCUCACAAAAGCAACAGGAUCUGGGUUACAGAAGAAUGCACUGUACCAAUGC